rnacentral:rRNA from 1 species
AUUGAACGCUGGCGGCAGGCCUAACACAUGCAAGUCGAACGGUAACAGGAAGCAGCCUGCUGCUUUGCUGACGAGUGGCGGACGGGUGAGUAAUGUCUGGGAAACUGCCCGAUGGAGGGGGAUAACUACUGGAAACGGUAGCUAAUACCGCAUAACGUCGCAAGACCAAAGAGGGGGACCUUAGGGCCUCUUGCCAUCGGAUGUGCCCAGAUGGGAUUAGCUAGUAGGUGGGGUAACGGCUCACCUAGGCGACGAUCCCUAGCUGGUCUGAGAGGAUGACCAGCCACACUGGAACUGAGACACGGUCCAGACUCCUACGGGAGGCAGCAGUGGGGAAUAUUGCACAAUGGGCGCAAGCCUGAUGCAGCCAUGCCGCGUGUAUGAAGAAGGCCUUCGGGUUGUAAAGUACUUUCAGCGGGGAGGAAGGGAGUAAAGUUAAUACCUUUGCUCAUUGACGUUACCCGCAGAAGAAGCACCGGCUAACUCCGUG